AUGGAGUACCUAGAGCAUGUCAGUUUUUUGGUUCUGUUAGACGAUGUGCAAGAUGAAGUCUACCCAGAUUUGACAGCUGUUGGUUUGACGAUGGCUCUUGGGCAUCGGCAAAAGGUUAUUCUUACGUCGAGGAGUCAGGUAGUAUGUGCUCGCAUGGGAUGCACCAUAUCAAACACUCUUGAGAUGAAGUGUCUCGGGGAUGAAGAUGCUUGGAGUCUUUUCGAGUAUAAUGCGGGAGUAAAAAUCACAGAAGCUGAUAAUGAAAUUUGUGAAUAUGCAAAACAGAUGGUUUCAGCAUGUGGAGGGUUGCCUAGAGCCAUAUGUGCUAUUGGCAUAGGCGUAGCCGGAGCCACUUGCAGGGGAAAACAUCCAGAUGAUUGGUGGUUUACCUACAAGCGUUUCAAGGGUAAAAAGUAA
rnacentral:rRNA from 1 species